UACGAAGGGGGCUAGCGUUGUUCGGAUUUACUGGGCGUAAAGCGCACGUAGGCGGAUCUUUAAGUCAGAGGUGAAAUCCCAAGGCUCAACCUUGGAACUGCCUUUGAUACUGGGGAUCUUGAGUCCGGGAGAGGUGAGUGGAACUGCGAGUGUAGAGGUGAAAUUCGUAGAUAAUUUGCAAGAACACCAGUGGCGAAGGCGGCUCACUGGCCCGGUACUGACGCUGAGGUGCGAAAGGCGUGGGGAGCAAACAGG
rnacentral:rRNA from 1 species